rnacentral:rRNA from 1 species
UGCUGGAUCAUUACCCAAGUGAUACCAAUUCACCACCUACCUGCUGUCCAGUUGAGUCAGUGUGGGCAACACCACAUGCCUCCGUUUGUUGUUGACGGACACAUGCCCGCUAUGUUUGGGCUGGCACAUUGAUCAACCAAUGUAUGGACAGCKCCCCUGUGGGCACAUGAGUGUUGGGGUGUAACCGAUGUUGGUGGCYCAAUGGGUGACUCGACGAUUGCUGUUGUCGUCGGGUCGCUGCACCAACGGAGGUGGCACGCCCACAGGGCACCSUAACGGCUGUGCUGGCGUCUGUGCGUCGUUGAGCGGUUGUUGCGCCUUGCGCGGAUAUGCUGACAUGGWGUGUAGGYUWCUAUUCCAUGUCGUASGUGCCGUACCCAGCGGCAUGUCUGCGCUUGUGUGCUACGUCCGUGGCCGYGAUGAGWCGACGUGUUAGGACCCGUGCCUGGCAUUGGCACGCGGUUUAAKCCYUGAUGAGUGCCUGCAGGCACCGCCAGCUUUUUCUCAUUUUUAUAAAUUUUUUAAUGCAAUUUUAUUGCUAAAAUAUUCUAGUCUUAUCGGUGGAUCACUCGGCUCGUGGAUCGAUGAAGAACGCAGCCAACUGCGAUAAUUAGUGUGAACUGCAGAAACCUUGAACACAGAACUUUCGAAUGCACAUUGCGCCAUUGGAGUGACAUCCAUUGGCACGCCUGGUUCAGGGUCGUAACCAAAAAAUGCACUGCAUGUGCGUGUUUUAUUUGCUAAGAUCACGCUUCGACGUGUUCUUGCAUACCAUUGAAUGCUACGCUGUGUAGUGUUGGACGUGCUGGCGCGAAAAUGUGUUGUCUUUCGCGCUUUACAGACCGUAAUUUAGGCACGCCCUUCGUUCACAUGCGAUAGCUGAAUGCCUCGCCAAUAGGCAUUCGCAAUUGAACAUUUCGACCUGAACUCAGACGUGAACACCCGCUGAACUUAAGCAUAUCAGUAAGCGGAGGAAAAGAAACUAACGAGGAUUCCCGUAGUAACGGCGAG